GUGAGGAAUAUUGGUCAAUGGACGCGAGUCUGAACCAGCCAAGUAGCGUGAAGGAUGACUGCCCUAUGGGUUGUAAACUUCUUUUAUAAGGGAAUAAAGUGAGGGACGUGUCCCUUUUUGUAUGUACCUUAUGAAUAAGGAUCGGCUAACUCCGUGCCAGCAGCCGCGGUAAUACGGAGGAUCCAAGCGUUAUCCGGAUUUAUUGGGUUUAAAGGGAGCGUAGGUUGACAUAUAAGUCAGCUGUGAAAGUUUACGGCUCAACCGUGAAAUUGCAGUUGAUACUGUAUGUCUUGAGUGUACAAGAGGUGGGCGGAAUUCGUGGUGUAGCGGUGAAAUGCUUAGAUAUCACGAAGAACUCCAAUUGCGAAGGCAGCUCACUGGGGUACAACUGACACUGAGGCUCGAAAGUGUGGGUAUCAAACAGGAUUAGAUACCCCAGUAGUCC
rnacentral:rRNA from 1 species